rnacentral:rRNA from 1 species
UACAGAGGGGGCAAGCGUUGUUCGGAAUUAUUGGGCGUAAAGAGCUCGUAGGCGGUUUGUUGCGUCGGCUGUGAAAUCCCGAGGCUCAACCUCGGGUCUGCAGUCGAUACGAGCAAACUAGAGUGUUGCAGGGGAGACUGGAAUUCCUGGUGUAGCGGUGAAAUGCGCAGAUAUCGAGGAGGAACACCGGUGGCGAAGGCGGGUCUCUGGGCAACAACUGACGCUGGAGGAGCGAAAGCCGUGGGGAGCGAAACGGG